rnacentral:rRNA from 1 species
GACGAACGCUGGCGGCGUGCUUAACACAUGCAAGUCGAACGAUGAUGCCCAGCUUGCUGGGUGGAUUAGUGGCGAACGGGUGAGUAACACGUGAGUAACCUGCCCCUGACUCUGGGAUAAGCGUUGGAAACGACGUCUAAUACUGGAUAUGACUGCCGGCCGCAUGGUCUGGUGGUGGAAAGAUUUUUUGGUUGGGGAUGGACUCGCGGCCUAUCAGCUUGUUGGUGAGGUAAUGGCUCACCAAGGCGACGACGGGUAGCCGGCCUGAGAGGGUGACCGGCCACACUGGGACUGAGACACGGCCCAGACUCCUACGGGGGCAGCAGUGGGGAAUAUUGCACAAUGGGCGAAAGCCUGAUGCAGCAACGCCGCGUGAGGGAUGACGGCCUUCGGGUUGUAAACCUCUUUUAGUAGGGAAGAAGCGUAAGUGACGGUACCUGCAGAAAAAGCACCGGCUAACUACGUGCCAGCAGCAGCCGCCG